rnacentral:rRNA from 1 species
GACGAACGCUGGCGGCGUGCUUAACACAUGCAAGUCGAACGGAAAGGCCCCGCUUUUGUGGGGUGAUCGAGUGGCGAACGGGUGAGUAACACGUGAGUAACCCGCCAUUGCCUUUGGGAUAACUUAAGGUAACUGGGGUUACUACCGGAUAGGAGCUCCUGCUGCAUGGUGGGGGUUGGCUUGUUCGGGCGGUUUGGGAUGGACUGGCGGGCUAUCAGAUUGUUGGUGGGGUAGUGGACUACCAAGGCUUUGGCGGGUAGCCGGCCGGAGAGGGAGACCGGCGACAUUGGGACGGAGAUAAGGCGCAGACGCCUACGGGAGGAAGCAGGGGGGAAGAUUGCAACAUGGGUGGCAGACUGAUGCAGAAAGGCCGCGUGCGGGAUGACGGUAUUCGGGUUGUAAACAGCUUUCAGCAGGGGAGAAGCUUGUGGUGACGGUACCUGAAGAAGAAGCACCGGCUAACUACGUG